rnacentral:tRNA from 1 species
UCCCUAGUAGUCUAGUGGGUAAGACUCUGCGUUCCCAAGGCAGGGGCCUGGGUUCAAUCCCUAGUCAAGGCA